GACGAACGCUGGCGGCGUGCUUAACACAUGCAAGUCGAACGAGAAAGCACCUUCGGGUGUGAGUACAGUGGCGAACGGGUGAGUAACACGUGGGCAACCUGCCCUGGAGACUGGGAUAACGUUCCGAAAGGGACGCUAAUACCGGAUGUGGUGUGAUCCGCCAAGCGGAUCACACUAAAUGGUAGCUUCGGCCUCCGCUUUGGGAUGGGCCCGCGCCGGAUUAGCUAGUUGGUGAGGUAACGGCUCACCAAGGCGACGAUCCGUAGCUGGUCUGAGAGGACGAUCAGCCACACUGGGACUGAGACACGGCCCAGACUCCUACGGGAGGCUG
rnacentral:rRNA from 1 species